UCCGAGAUGGCCGAGUGGUUAAGGCGGCAGACUUAAGAUAAAACGCACAGCUGUGUGUAUACUUGGGAUUUCUGCUGACGAAAGUCGCGCGAGUUCGAACCUCGUUCUCGGAA